AGCGAACGCUGGCGGCAGGCUUAACACAUGCAAGUCGAACGGUCCUUCGGGAUAGUGGCGGACGGGUGAGUAACACGUGGGAACGUACCCUUAGGUUCGGAACAACACAGGGAAACUUGUGCUAAUACCGGAUAAGCCCUUCGGGGGAAAGAUUUAUCGCCUUUGGAGCGGCCCGCGUCUGAUUAGCUUGUUGGUGAGGUAAUGGCUCACCAAGGCUACGAUCAGUAGCUGGUCUGAGAGGGUGGCCAGCCACACUGGGACUGAGCCACGGCCCAGACUCCUACGGGAGGCAGCAGUGGGUAAUCUUGCGCAAUGGGCGAAAGCUUGACGCAGCCAUGCCGCGUGGAUGAUGAAGGUCUUAGGAUUGUAAAAUCCUUUCACCGGGGACGUUAAUGACGGUACCCGGAGAAGAAGCCCCGGCUAACUUCGUGCCAGCCGCCGCCGUAA
rnacentral:rRNA from 1 species